ACACAUGCAAGUCGAGGGGCAGCAUCAUCAAUGCUUGCUUUGAUGGAUGGCGACCGGCGCACGGGUGAGUAACACGUAUCCAACCUGCCGACAACACUGGGAUAGCCUUUCGAAAGAAAGAUUAAUACCGGAUGGCAUAAUUAUUCCGCAUGGGAUAAUUAUUAAAGAAUUUCGGUUGUCGAUGGGGAUGCGUUCCAUUAGGCAGUUGGCGGGGUAACGGCCCACCAAACCUACGAUGGAUAGGGGUUCUGAGAGGAAGGUCCCCCACAUUGGAACUGAGACACGGUCCAAACUCCUACGGGAGGCAGCAGUGAGGAAUAUUGGUCAAUGGACGAGAGUCUGAACCAGCCAAGUAGCGUGAAGGAUGACUGCCCUAUGGGUUGUAAACUUCUUUUAUACGGGAAUAAAGUGAGCCACGUGUGGCUUUUUGUAUGUACCGUAUGAAUAAGGAUCGGCUAACUCCGUGCCAGCAGCCGCGGUAAUACGGAGGAUCCGAGCGUUAUCCGGAUUUAUUGGGUUUAAAGGGAGCGUAGGCGGGUUGUUAAGUCAGUUGUGAAAGUUUGCGGCUCAACCGUAAAAUUGCAGUUGAUACUGGCGACCUUGAGUGCAACAGAGGUAGGCGGAAUUCGUGGUGUAGCGGUGAAAUGCUUAGAUAUCACGAAGAACUCCGAUUGCGAAGGCAGCUUACUGGAUUGUAACUGACGCUGAUGCUCGAAAGUGUGGGUAUCAAACAGGAUUAGAUACCCUGGUAGUCCACACAGUAAACGAUGAAUACUCGCUGUUGGCGAUAUACAGUCAGCGGCCAAGCGAAAGCAUUAAGUAUUCCACCUGGGGAGUACGCCGGCAACGGUGAAACUCAAGGGAAUUGACGGGGGCCCGCACAAGCGGAGGAACAUGUGGUUUAAUUCGAUGAUACGCGAGGAACCUUACCCGGGCUUAAAUUGCAACUGACGGAACCGGAAACGGUUCUUUCUUCGGACAGUUGUGAAGGUGCUGCAUGGUUGUCGUCAGCUCGUGCCGUGAGGUGUCGGCUUAAGUGCCAUAACGAGCGCAACCCUUACGGGUAGUUACCAUCAGGUUAUGCUGGGGACUCUACCCGGACUGCCGUCGUAAGAUGUGAGGAAGGUGGGGAUGACGUCAAAUCAGCACGGCCCUUACGUCCGGGGCUACACACGUGUUACAAUGGGGGGUACAGAAGGCAGCUACACGGCGACGUGGUGCUAAUCCCAAAAGCCUCUCUCAGUUCGGAUUGGAGUCUGCAACCCGACUCCAUGAAGCUGGAUUCGCUAGUAAUCGCGCAUCAGCCACGGCGCGGUGAAUACGUUCCCGGGCCUUGUACACACCGCCCGUCAAGCCAUGAAAGCCGGGGGUACCUGAAGUACGUAACCAAGAGGAGCGUCCUAGGGUAAAACUGGUGAUUGGGGC
rnacentral:rRNA from 1 species